CGUGUAGGUGGCUUUGUAAGUCAGAUGUGAAAGCCCUCGGCUUAACCGAGGAAGGGCAUUUGAAACUGCAAGGAUAGAGUACGGGAGAGGGUUGUAGAAUUCCAGGUGUAGAGGUGAAAUUCGUAGAUAUCUGGAGGAAUACCGGUGGCGAAGGCGGCAACCUGGACCGAUACUGACACUGAGACGCGAAAGCGUGGGGAGCAAACAGGAUUAGAUACCCUGGUAGUCC
rnacentral:rRNA from 1 species